rnacentral:rRNA from 1 species
AUUGAACGCUAGCUACAGGCUUAACACAUGCAAGUCGAGGGGUAACGAGAGGAAAGCUUGCUUUCCUUGUCGACGACCGGCGCACGGGUGAGUAACGCGUAUCCAACCUGCCCCCAACUAGGGAAUAACCUUGCGAAAGUAAGACUAAUACCCUAUAAUUUCCUCAGAUGCCAUCUGACGAGGAAUAAAGAUUUAUCGGUUGUGGAUGGGGAUGCGUCUGAUUAGCUUGUUGGCGGGGUAACGGCCCACCAAGGCAACGAUCAGUAGGGGUUCUGAGAGGAAGGUCCCCCACAUUGGAACUGAGACACGGUCCAAACUCCUACGGGAGGCAGCAGUGAGGAAUAUUGGUCAAUGGGCGGAAGCCUGAACCAGCCAAGUAGCGUGCAGGAUGACGGCCCUAUGGGUUGUAAACUGCUUUUAUACAGGAAUAAAGUUAGCCACGUGUGGUUAUUUGUAGGUACUGUAUGAAUAAGGACCGGCUAAUUCCGUGCCAGCAGCCGCCGUAA